rnacentral:lncRNA from 1 species
UUAAUUUACAUUCUUAGUGUUAGUUAAGUUAGUUAGCACUGUAGCUUAGUUUAUUUACAUGUUUAGUACCUUAACUUUGCUUGUAAUGACAUUUUAAUCUCUAGUUUAAUUUUUUUUCAGUUUGUUUUCUUUUCUUCUUUUAAAAAUCUCAAUUUUAUUGUUCUUGUUCAUUCAUGUUGUUGUUAGUUGUUUGUCUUUCAAAU